rnacentral:tRNA from 1 species
GCGUUGUUGGUGUAGUGGUUAGCAUUGAAGCCUUCCAUUGCAGAUCCGUUGAUAAGGCUCUUGCUUAGGUCCAGCUUUAGUCCGGGGUUCGAAUCCCCGACAACGCA